UCCAAAAUCGUAAAGAUGAGGUGCACGAUUUUUCAUUUUUUUUGUGAAUAUUUCAAAAUUAAGAACCACUAAACUAUAAAUUUUUUUUUGUUGACGAUAUUUCGCAAUGAAGAACUAAAACAUAUUACGAAUACAUCUAUACUCCCACAGAAUAUCGCACCACCAGAAAUAUGGCACGAAUUUGAGUAAUUUCAAAAACCUGGACAAUGAAACAAAGAUUAUUGGAAAAAACACUUUUCAACAAGACACCACCCACAGAAAAAAUCUGGAUACAUUAACCUGUAAAUGUUUGCUCCUGUAGCAAGUCUCCUAUGUCCUAAUCGAUGAAUACGACAUAAUGAAGGUGAAGGAUAUAAAAAACUACAGAUAAUGUAAAGAAAGUCGAUCAAACGAGCUAUUAUAUUCUGAAUUUCUGGUGAUUCAUGCGAUGAUCGAGAUACAUAAUACCAACUAGAGAAAUACUUUUACGAAAAAUUUUAUUCAAAACAACGAAGUCGAUAGUUUCAGAUUUUCAACAAAACACAUCAACAAACCGAAUGGACCACUAACUACAGCAUCCUUCCGGAAGGAAGAAAAACUGCAUAAUAGAUGCGUGGUAUGACGGAUACCGUUUUAAGAAUAAAACCGUCCUAAACACGAUUUUUAUCAACGUUGUUCUUAGAUCACAUCAGCAUUGAAAAUGCGAUCUGGAAGUGAUUCUAUAACUGCGUUGGAACAUCUAUAGAAAUGCUGAGUUGGAUAGAAUUAUUAUAAAUCAGAAUAAGAUCGUGUAUGUACCAGAAUUAUCGUUCAACAGUCCCAUAGAUCGCGAAAAGUCUUCACUUCGUGAUAAAUAAUAAGGUGACUACAUGAUAUUCGAAUGGUUAUGUCAGAAUUGUCUAUCAAGACUGCAACAUCAAUCAUCGUCCCAUAUGGAGACCCCCUCCCCCUCAAAUUUCAAUUACAACUAUAGCACUUUUAGAACUAGACAAUUUCUUCAAUAAUACCCUGCGUAUUAUUCAAUCAUGACAUGAAAUGGUACUACGCUGUAGAAAUGCUUUUGUCCAAAUUCUCCCUGAAAAGUUAUUCGAAAUAACAGGUUCCAACCAGUUUUAGAGCAAUUUGGAUGCGCAAAUGAGGAAAACUACAGCACGAUUUCUUCGACAAACAUGAACCACCUACAGUACAGAUGUAAGCAGUAAGACUACGUAUAUUGAAUAUUUAAGCAGAAUCAUAUCGUACAGCAUAAUAAACAAUACGAGAAUAUUAAUAAUGCGAUCAGCGAAAGCGACAAUAUUAUCUUUAGGAAGCUUCAUCAUGACCUGGGACGACAGAUCACAAAAUUAUAAUCUAAGUGCAUUAGCUUUUACAUCUGAAGAAUGAUUUUGAUACAUAUCUGCUUUGUCCAAUGAACUGUCGGUUGAAAAAUCGGAAAUACGUGAAUUGAAAAUGUCAUUAACUUGAUAUACCUACAUAUAUAUCUAUAUGAAGUUCAUGACAUUUCCAAUUCACUCAUUUCUGAUUUUUCAACCGACGUAUUAAUUGGAAUAAACGUGAACAAUAAUCAUAACAUUUUCAAGACAACUCUUCAAACACUCAAGUUGAACUAGUGAGCUUUACUUUAUUUUCCUCAUAAAAAACUUUUCGGAGAAAAAAACGUAAAACUCACUAGGUAAUCCCACUUCCUGAGAGGGGAUCAGGAAAAUUCCAAGAACAAAUACCUGCACAUAAAAUUGCAAGAAAAAUUCAAACCCACUGUUCGGUUUUUGUCUAUGUUCUGUUAUCUUCUGUUCUCUUUUAUAAAAUGUUUGCCCAGAUAAAAGCUCUUCUCACGAAAUUCUUCCCAAGCAUUUUUUUUUUCAUAUUGUUGUUCUGUUCUGUUCUAUUUUGUUCUCUUGAACAGAACAGAACGGAACAGAACAGAAGUAUGAAAAAAAUGCAUCGGGAUGGAUUUCUUGGGAAGAACUUUCGUCAGGGAAGAAUGAAUGCAUUGUUUAAGCUUUGUAUAAAUUAGGUUUGUUAACUCCUGAUACGAUAAUAUUAUUGUGAGCUACUAUUUUCCAAAACUCUAAGGUAUCACAACUGCGAAUAUAUUUUUAAAAUAAAUUUUGUAAACGUGAA